UACGAAGGGGGCUAGCGUUGCUCGGAAUGACUGGGCGUAAAGGGCGCGUAGGCGGUUUGUACGGUCAGAUGUGAAAUUCCUGGGCUCAACCUGGGGGCUGCAUUUGAUACGUGCGGACUUGAGUGAGGAAGAGGGUCGUGGAAUUCCCAGUGUAGAGGUGAAAUUCGUAGAUAUUGGGAAGAACACCGGUGGCGAAGGCGGCGACCUGGGUCGAUACUGACGGCUGAGGUGCGAAAGCGUGGGGAGCAAACAGG
rnacentral:rRNA from 1 species